AGUGAGGUCUUCGGAUUGGCUUCGGAGGGCCGGAAACGGCCCACUGUUGCUGAGAAGUUGAUCAAACUUGGUCAUUUAGAGGAAGUAAAAGUCGUAACAAGGUUUCCGUAGGUGAACCUGCGGAAGGAUCAUUACCGAAUUGUCGACACGAGUUGUUGCUGGUCCUCAAAUGGGGGCAUGUGCACGCUCUGUUUACACAUCCACUCACACCUGUGCACCCACUGUAGUUCUGUGGCCUGGGGGGCUCUGUCCUCUUGCUGCGGUUCUAUGUCUUUACACACACACACUGUAAUAAAGUUUCAUGGAAUGCAUGACGCGUCUAACGCAAUACAAUACAACUUUCAGCAACGGAUCUCUUGGCUCUCGCAUCGAUGAAGAACGCAGCGAAAUGCGAUAAGUAAUGUGAAUUGCAGAAUUCAGUGAAUCAUCGAAUCUUUGAACGCACCUUGCGCCCUCUGGCUAUUCCAGAGGGCAUGCCUGUUUGAGUAUCAUGAACACCUCAACUCUCAUGGUUUUGCCGUGAUGAGCUUGGACUUUGGGGGUCUUGCUGGCCUGCGGUCGGCUCCUCUCAAAUGAAUCAGCUUGCCAGUGUUUGGUGGCAUCACGGGUGUGAUAACUAUCUACGCUUGUGGUUUUCCACCAGGUAACCUUCAGUGAUGGAGGUUCGCUGGAGCUCAUAAACGUCUCUCCUUAGCGAGGACAGUUUCCUGAAUGUUUGAUCUCAAAUCAGGUAGGGCUACCCGCUGAACUUAAGCAUAUCAAUAAGCGGAGGAAAAGAAACUAACAAGGAUUCCCCUAGUAACUGCGAGUGAAGCGGGAAGAGCUCAAAUUUAAAAUCUGGCGUGCCUUUGGCCGUCCGAGUUGUAGUCUGGA
rnacentral:rRNA from 1 species